UGUGUACACACAAGGAAGACCACGUGGCUGUGUGAGGGAGGAGACAGAGAGGAGGCAGCCAUCUGCACGCCAAGGGGAGUAGCUUUAUUUCCUAUUACCUCUUUGAUCUUGGACAUGAAGCCCCAGAACGAUUCAUUUUUGGACUCUUGCUACUUCCUCUCGUUAGCGUGUACUGCUCCAACCAUGACUGCCAACUAUUGACCAAGUGUGACAUUUCCACCUGAUAGUUCUAUCGUUUGGUGACAAGUUGAGGGUGGCACCAAGAAGUUGAACUUACAAAAGAAUUUAGCCUUCGCUCAGCCAGCUGGAAAGAGGUGUCACUGGUGCUGCCAUCGUGAAAUUGGGAUCACAGGAAACUACACUGUCUAUGAAAGCUAGAUGCUUGGGUGGACUAGAAGAAGCAGAUGAGAAAGUGAUGAGUUCCCUGCUCACACUGCCCCGAUUACAACUGAGCCAAGACUUGCAGAGGAGAGUCACAAGAUGCCCUUGAGAAAGUUCCUUUAUUAUCCCCUGGCUUGGUUUCUUUUUCUUCUCUACAAAGUCAGAAGUUCAUGUUGAUGCCUGAUGAUGAGUUCGUAGACAAAAGACAGAAGUGAAGACCCAGGCUUUGAGUCUCAGCUGGAUUCUUGGCAUAUAUCCCUCAUCACAUCCCAUUUAUAAAGUAAGGACACUGAUGUUUGCUGAAUCUACCUCCCUUGGUUGAGAUAAUGCACCCGAAAUGCCUGACACACUUUAAAAAACUUAGUUCCAGUCCAUCAACUCAGGACCAGAACUGCCCUGAACAUAAUCCCACUCUUUUCCAGCAAUUUAAGAGAAUCAGUGGCUAGGGGGAACAAACCUGGGCACUGUCAUGAAAUCUCACAGGGGCCAAACACACAAACACUGUCCUCAUGACAACAGCCAUGAAAUAGGUAAGGUUGAAGCAAAAGUCUGGGCUGGCCACAGAAACCCUGCAUUUCCUUGUUUUAUUUGUAAAGCUCACUGCUAAAUGCUAAGGAAAAUAAAUUGAUUUCCAUCUUUA